rnacentral:tRNA from 1 species
AGAAAUUUAGGUUACAACUAGACCAAGAGCCUUCAAAGCCCUAAGCAAGUAUCAAAACUUAAUUUCU